UGGGGAAUAUUGGACAAUGGGCGCAAGCCUGAUCCAGCCAUGCCGCGUGAGUGAAGAAGGCCUUCGGGUUGUAAAGCUCUUUUACCAGGGACGAUAAUGACGGUACCUGGAGAAUAAGCCCCGGCAAACUUCGUGCCAGCAGCCGCGGUAAUACGAAGGGGGCUAGCGUUGUUCGGAAUUACUGGGCGUAAAGCGCACGUAGGCGGAUUGUUAAGUCAGAGGUGAAAUCCCGGAGCUCAACUUCGGAACUGCCUUUGAUACUGGCAAUCUAGAGUCCGGAAGAGGUUAGUGGAAUUCCCAGUGUAGAGGUGAAAUUCGUAGAUAUUGGGAAGAACACCAGUGGCGAAGGCGGCUAACUGGUCCGGUACUGACGCUGAGGUGCGAAAGCGUGGGGAGCAAACAGGAUUAGAUACCCCUGUAGUCCCUGAGCGGGCUGGCAAGGCGCAU
rnacentral:rRNA from 1 species